AUAAAAUGGCUUGCUCAAGAAACCAGGUUUGAAGUGGAGGUUUGCCGUCACUCCCCAGAUCUGUAUGGAAGUGUCAGAAGUGGAGUCAGCUAGUUAGUUCACCCCAAUAGGUACUGAGAGCUAUUAAGUCUGUACCACUGUGUCGGGAGAGACCAGGAGGAAUCGAGCAGAGCAUGGUCUAAUAAACAGAGAAGGCUCAGGAGGGUCAGAAACACGGUGCCUCAUUUCUCAGCCUACUUGCCAAGAAUUCCCAAAAAGGAAGCACUGGAGGAUCAUUCCAAGGCUUGAGGUCCAGGACUACCCACUUCCCUUGGAAUGGUGUUGCCAUCACUGUUCUGGCACCGGAGGUAAGGAUUCUACAUCGUUAGGAGAAAAGAAAAAGGAGAAUUUGGGCUUGCACUGAGAGGAUUACCUUUGGUGGUCUGGAAGUGGUGGGGUUGCAGCAUUGAAGGCACCAUCUUGGAAGCAGAGACUAGACCCUCACCAAGCAAUUAACAUGCUGGUGCAUUGAUCUUGGACUUUCCAGCCUCCAGAACUGUGAGAAAUAAAUUUCUGUUCUUAAUUAAUUACCCAGUCCCAGGUAUUCUGUUAUAGCAGCACAAAGCUUAGACGGGCUCCUUACAUCUUGAGGCUCCAUUAUCUCCUGGGAACUGGGAGUCCUUAGGUUCUAGCCAUGGAAAGAGAAACAAAAGAUGGAGAAGGCACACAUGCUUCUUAAUGGUCGUGGUUCAGAAGUAACAAAUACUAAUUCUAUAUAUUCUACUGGCUCAACACAAAUGCAGGGGUGUGCUGGGAAUGGAGUCUCUGAUUGGGCAGCAGGGAUCAGGGAUCAAAGAUCAGGAAAUAUUCCAGGGUGAAUAUUUUACUAGGUGAGGAGGACCAUGAAUUUUGACAAACAGCCUUUGCUGCUCUACCCACUCCUCAUCAUCACUGUUAGACACAAAGAGAAAUGGCAGCACUUUUUGUCCAUUGAUUGUAACUCUUUCUUUAAAGACUUUUAAGGCAGAAUCUCAAUUCAUCUCUUCUAUGAAACUUUCAUGAUUCAAAGGGAAGUCCCUGCAUGGACACUGCCAGCUUCAUUGCACUUCUGCCUCUAUGCUUUUUCCUGAACCUUCUCCACCUCUGGAACGUACUUCAGGCUGCACAGGGAGCAUGGCUGGGAGGCCUCAGGAAACUGACAAUCAUCAGUAGAAGAUGAAGAGGAAGGAGGCGCAUCUUACAUGGCCAGAGAAGGAGGAAGAAUAAGAAGGGAUUCUCCAGCUGGAGCCCUAUAAAUUGGACUGACAAAAGACAGAUUAGCAAGAGAAAUGCAAGCAGCAGUUUAUUAACAUGUGCAUCAUGAUUACACAUGGAAGUACCCAGAGGCAGAAUUAAAGAUUCAAGAUGUACCUACUUCUUCCGGGGACAACAUUCAUGAUUCUUAAAGAUUUCACAAGUGUACCUUCUAAGGGUAAGUGGCUGGAAGUAGUAAGAGGUCAAUGCCAAGUGAAAUCCUCUGGCGUUUUCUUCUGACAACCAGGAGUCUGCAAAGUGAGUUUGCUGGGAGCGUCCAGUUUUUUCAGCUUAACGUUAGGUGUACUUUCUGUCUUCGGCACAAAUUGUUUCCAAAUGCCUGUGGGUUGCAAUAUGAUUUUCCCAUCUUGAAAAUCUAUUAAAAAGGAAGAGAUUCUUCACUUCUCCCCACCCCACCUCCAGGCACUGCAGAUGGCGAUUAACACCCUACACAGCCCCUCCCCAUAGCAUCAUCGAUUUUCUGCCUGCAUUGCAUCUACUUCACAGUUCGAGACAUGCCAAAUCACACACGUUCUAAGUACUUGUUGCUAGCAACAAAUCUCUGUUCCUCAGUGGCCAAGCAGACUAUAUUUGGAAUGUCAGAGCACCUAGCCCUUCCCUGGCCCACUUCCUUUAGCUCAGAAGUCUCCAAGCCUGAAAGUAACCUCACCCGUGUUUCCUUGAGUUCUGCUUGUUGAAGCAACUCUUUGGAUUAACUCCGCAAAACACAAAGUGACAGCAAAACAGAGAAACAAUCAGAUUCUUUUCCAUGAACUCCUUUCUUUUCUAUAAAAGUGUUAUUAAUCCCUAUCUUAUGGGACAAUUGUGAAUGUAUUUAAUGAGCUCAUCAAAAUAUACAUACACAUACAUAUAUAUAUAGAGGGGGGGGGUUGGGGGGAGAGAGAGAGAGAGAAAGAGAGAGAGUCUCACUCUGUGGCCCAGGCUGGAGUGCAGUGGCACAAUCUCAGCUCGCUGCAACUUCCAUCGUCUCCCAGGUUCAAGCAAUUCUCCUGCCUCAGCCUCCCAAGUAGCUGGGAUUACAGGCGCUCGCCACCAAGCCCAGCUAAUUUUUUUUAUUUUUCUUUUUGGAGACAGAGUCUCGCUCUGUUGCCCAGGCUGGAGUGCAAUGGGGCAAUCUCGGCUCACUGCAACCUCCGCCUCCCGGGUUCAAGCAUCCUGCCUCAGUCUCCCUAGUAGCUGGGACUACAGGCAAAUGCUGCCAAGCCAGGCUAAAUUUUUUUGUAUUUUAAUAGAGAUGGGUUUCACCGUGUUGCCCAGGCUGGUCUCGAACUCCUGAGCUCAGACAAUCCACCCGCCUCGGCCUCCCAAAGUGCUAAGAUUACAGGCAUGAGCCACUGUGCCCGGCCUAAUUUUUGUAUUUUUACUAGAGACCGGGUUUUGCCAUGUUGGUCAGGCUGGUCUCACACUCCUGACAUCAGGUAAUCUGCCGACCUCAGCCUCCCAAAGUGCUGGGAUUACAGGCAUGAGCCACCUUGCCCAGCCUGAGCUCAUCAAAAUAUUAAAACUAGUGCAUUUUUAAUGGCAGUGUAGACCUAGCACAUGGCUGGCAGUGUAUAACUGCCAGGUGUUUCUCCUCUUUUCCUCACCCUUUCUCUCUCUUUUUUAUUGAGGUGAAAUUCACAUAACAUAAAUCAAAUCAUUUUAAAGUGAACAAUUAAAUGGCAUUUUAUACUUUCCCAGUGUUGUGCAAUCACAUCUCUAUCUAGUUCCUAAAUAUUUCCAUCCCCCCCAGAAGGAAACGCAUCCCCUUUAACCACUCUCCAUUUCCCUCUCCUCAGCCUUCACAAACAACAAUCGACUUCCUGUCUCCAUGCAUUUACCUGUUCUGGUUAUUUUAUAUAAAUGGAUUUAUAUAAUAUGUGUCUGGUUCCAUUCACUUAAUGUAAUAUUUUUGAGGUUUUUUCACCUUGUAUCACGUUUUGGUAAUUCAUUUCUUGUUAUAUCUGAACAAUAUUCUGUUGUAUGAAUAUACCACAGUUUGUUGUCUAUUUAUCUAUGGAUGAACAUUUGGGCUGUUUCACCUUUUGAUGUUUGUAAAUUGUAAGUAGUGCUGCCAUGAACACAUAUGUACAUGUAUUGGUUUGAGUGCCUGUUUUCAAUACUUUUGAGUAUAUAACUAGGAGUGAAAUUGGUAUUCACCCUUUUUUUUCUGUUACUUCUCUUAAUGAUCUCAUGUCUGCGUGAUCCUUAAUGAUGCCCCGUUUUAAAAUUCCUGACAUUGUUUGUCACUAGGUCAUUUGUCUCUAGUUUAACUGAUCAAUCUUGACAGCAAUUUUUCACUUUUAUUAGUAUUUUAAGGAAUCAGCCUGUGGUUUUGAGAAUCUUGUCUGCUUAUACAUUUGAAUUAGUUACAAUGAUUGCUUUCUCUUUGGAUUUGUUUCGCCACUCCUUUGGUAAUGUCCGGAGAGAGCUUCUUAACUGACACGAACGGGGCUCCAUUGGUAUGUCCUGGGAUCCCUCGUCAGGCCUGUGCACUCCCAGACCUCCAAGGGCCGGGACCUGCAUUUUUGUCCGAGGGCCGUCCCCAGGCUGCCUGAACUUACUUAGCCUAUGGGCAUAGUGGGCUGGAGGUGCCUGGGAACUAACAGCGCCAGAGGAAACCUUUAACUAAAGACCAAAGGCUGUCAGGGUGUAAAUACUCUUCUUGCCCUUCGGCUGAGAUAAUUCUGAAGCAUAUUUUACUUAGUUUUCUAGAGUUCUUCUUGGUAAUUAAUGCAAUCAAGCUCCAGUCUCCUGCUGUGAUGACUGCCUUCAUAACAUACCCUUUAUUAUUUAUCUGUCUUCCCUCCGUAUCUCACUUCCUACCUGUUCCUACUUGUCUAUUUCCCUGUGAGGGACUGAACUGUGAGCCCCUCAGAUUCAACGUACGAAGCCCCUAAAUUUAUUUGUUCGAGUCUGAAGCCAAAGUACCUAAGAAUGUGGCUUUAUUUGGAGAUACAGCUUUAAAGAGGUGAUGAAAUUAAAAUGAGAUCAUGAAGGUACACUCUAAUCCACUAUGACUGGUGUCCUUAUAAGAAGAGAUUAGGACACAACACACACAGAGGGAAUCCCAUGGGCAGACACAGGGAGAACACAGACAUCUGCAAGCCAAGGGCAGGAGCCUCAGAAGAAACCAAACCUGCUGACACCUUGAUCUCAGAUUUCAGCCUCCAGAAAUGUGAGAAAAUAAAUUUCUGUUGUUUAAGCCACCUAGCCUGUGAUACUUUGUUACGGCAGCCCAAGCUAAUUAAUUCACUCCCAAUUAAACUGUUCGCCCUUGAAUCCUUGGCUCAAGGUCUGCUUCUGGGGAACCCAAGCUAAGAUUCAAAGUUUAUUGAUUUUUUUCAGUGUUUCUUCUUUUCUAAAUAUGCAUUUGAAGCUAUAAAUUCCCUUCUAAGCAAGGCUAACACUCUGAUAUGUAGUAUUUGAUAGUGUAAUGAUAAGUAUUUGUAGUAUAAUGGUAAGCUUUGAUAUGUAGUAUUAUUAUUUAAUUUGAAGUAUUUUCCAUUGCAAUUUCUAUUUAACCUGUGGCUUAUUAUAACUCAGAAGGGUUUCACAUUGGCCUUAUAGAUGCUCCAGCCAUGUGUGUCACUUCUGCUCACAACUCAAAUGACCAGAACUAGCCACAGGGCUCCACCCAGCCACAGGGGAGCAGAAAGCACAACCUACCGUGUUGGUGUUGCAUAGAACAUCUUUCUACAUGUUUCCUCUUGCGUAGGUGCUAGAAUUGCUUUAGAAUAGGCUAUAAACCUGGGGGUGGAGUCACUAAGUCAUCUUAUUAAACCCAUCUUCCAUUUUAUUAGAAAUUGCCAAGCUGCUUUCCAAAGCGGUUGUGUGAGUACACAUAUUGCCCAUGCACAUUGUUCUGCACCUUCACAACCCUUCAUAUUAUCAGACUUUUAAAAUUUUUUGGCAAUUUUGGAGGCAUGAAACAGUAUCCUUUUGCAUUUUAAUUUUCAUUUCCCUGACUAAUAGGCAGGUCAGGUUUGUUUGUUUGUUGUUGUUGUUGUUUGAGACGGAGUCUUGCUCUGUCACCAGGCUGGAGUGCAUUGGCACGAUCACAGCUCACUGCAACCUCCACCUCCUGGUUUCAAGCAAUUCUCCUGCCUCAGCCUCCCAAGUAGCUGGGACUACCGGCACCUGCCACCACGCCCAGCUAAUUUUUGUAUUUUUAGUAGAGACGGGGUUUCACCAUGUUGGCCACGAUGGUCUCUUGACCUCAUGAUCCACCCA
rnacentral:lncRNA from 10 species